CCUCUAGAUGAGGAAGAAUUCAUUGCUUACAUUGUAAAUGGCCUAGAUGGCGAUUAUGAUCCUUUUGUUUCAUCUCUUGGGAUGCGGGUAGAACCCAUCUCCAUAACCAAGUUGUAUGCACAAUUGCUGAGUUUUGAGA
rnacentral:snoRNA from 1 species